AGUGAACGCUGGCGGUAGGCCUAACACAUGCAAGUCGAACGGCAGCACAGUAAGAUCUUGCUCUUACGGGUGGCGAGUGGCGGACGGGUGAGGAAUACAUCGGAAUCUACUUUUUCGUGGGGGAUAACGUAGGGAAACUUACGCUAAUACCGCAUACGACCUACGGGUGAAAGCAGGGGAUCUUCGGACCUUGCGCGAUUGAAUGAGCCGAUGUCGGAUUAGCUAGUUGGCGGGGUAAAGGCCGACCAAGGCGACGAUCCGUAGCUGGUCUGAGAGGAUGAUCAGCCACAAUGGAACUGAGACACGGUCCAGACUCCUACGGGAGGCAGCAGUGGGGAAUAUUGGACAAUGGGCGCAAGCCUGAUCCAGCCAUACCGCGUGGGUGAAGAAGGCCUUCGGGUUGUAAAGCCCUUUUGUUGGGAAAGAAAAGCAGCAGGUUAAUACCCCGCUGUUCUGACGGUACCCAAAGAAUAAGCACCGGCUAACUUCGUG
rnacentral:rRNA from 1 species